GAGAAUUUUUCACAAUGGGCGCAAGCCUGAUGGAGCGACGCCGCGUGGGGGAUGAAUGGCUUCGGCCCGUAAACCCCUGUCAUUCGCGAUCAAGGCGCAUUAUUUAAAAGAUGAUAACCUGAUAGUAGCGAAAGAGGAAGGGACGGCUAACUCUGUGCCAGCAGCCGCGGUAAUACAGAGGUCCCAAGCGUUGUUCGGAUUCACUGGGCGUAAAGGGUGCGUAGGUGGCGGGGUAAGUCGGAUGUGAAAUCUCGGAGCUCAACUCCGAAAUGGCAUUGGAAACUACCCUGCUCGAGGAUUGGAGGGGGGACUGGAAUACUUGGUGUAGCAGUGAAAUGCGUAGAUAUCAAGUGGAACACCAGUGGCGAAGGCGAGUCCCUGGACAACUCCUGACACUGAGGCACGAAAGCUAGGGGAGCAAACA
rnacentral:rRNA from 1 species